GGUUGGCUCAGUGGUAGAGUGCUUGUUUUGCAUGUGUGAGGCACUGGGUUCAAUUCUCAGCACCA
rnacentral:tRNA from 1 species